GCUGGGUCUCUCUCCAAGCUGCUGCAGAGCUUGUAAUUGAUGCUGAACUCCUUGAUGUAAUAAACUUUUAUGAUCAAGAACAGUGUCAAGCGGAUUUCACACAUCAUCGCAGCAUUAUUGUUCGGUCACCACACCGGCCUUCAGUCCAGCUCUGCCACUUGAGGCUCCAGGCCUCCUGCCCCUCCUUUGUGUUUCCCCUUUUCUAUCUCACCUCUACCAAGUAGGCUGUGUGUCCCUGUGGAAUGAAGACCCGCCUACUUCCUGGUUUCUGGGGCGCUGACUUCAGUCCCACCCAUUGGUUCCCUCUGUUCCCGCUCAACCAAUGGCUGGUCACCACAUUGAUUACCUCCUGCUCAUAAGGAGAGUCCACCUGUUGCUCGAGGCAGUCUUGUGUGCCGCUGGUAUUGACUGUGUACUUUGCUUGUUAGCUGUACUUUGUGUGUAGUGGAGAAAUUCACUUAGUAUUUUUGUUUAAUAUUGAGUUAGUUUAGUGGGUGCUGUGCUCUUUGUGUUCUUUUGUAGCAAGAAUUAACCCUGUUUAAAUAUAUAGAGAGGUACAGGCCUCCUUUUGAGGACCUCUUUAUUUUAACUUGGUUUGUUAUUUUCGCAGCACCCUCGUCCACCCUCCUUUUGUUUAUCGUUACCUGUCUGCAUCUCCGUGUUACCAAUAAAAGUUACCUUUUUAAGAUCUAUACCAGUUUUGCCUAUAUGUUUAUGGCCCCCACUCCCCUAGACCAACAGGGGGUCGUAACAAUCGGUCACCUGUCUGGCCUCAGGCGAGCCCCCGUUCUCUCGGUCGUCCACCGGGACGGCUUCCUGAACGCUGUUGCCCCCCUGAUCUGCCCGGCCGGUUUCCCCUCCUGAAAUGCGUUGUCUCCAUUACCCUCCUGGCCUGCUCGGACGACCUCCUGUUCGGCCUCCCGAACUGUUCUGCUCCUCUGCUCUGCCCUGCAUGUUAGGCCAAGCGCCUUACCUGCCCUAUUUCCUGGGCCUGAUCUGCCUGUUGGGUGGUUCCUCCAGACUGUUUUGCUCCCUAACCCUGCGCUACCUGUUUAGUUUUCCUCCUGGACCUUAUGACUCCCCCUCCUCCGCCACCCGCCUGAGAAUUCCCUGUCUACUCACUGGCCUGUCUGGAUUUUGAUUUCGGUUUUCCUGGCCAGACAAAGAAAGCAUGUGCAGCAGAAACGAUCGACCAAUACCUUCCCAGUUGAAAAAGAGACAUUACCCAGGUACCGUUUGGUUUGAAGCGUUCUGGAGUCUUUCAUGAGACAUGUGUUCAGACAGUCCUCUGAGACGGUGCAGGGCAGCGAUGUUGGAGCUCCUCCCACUCAUCAUCUCUCACCUCUGAAACAAAAUGUUAUACUUCAUGAUCCACAGCAUUAAUUGUAGAUGUUCCUUGUGCUUAUUGGCUGAUUUAUUUAUUAAAAUGUUUGUUGUAUUUCUGACAAA